AUGUACUGCACACAAUGCAGAUAGUGAUUUCAGCUCUUAUAUAUUUAUAAUAUGAUAUUGAGCUGAAACUGAAAUUUUGAUUUCUUUAAAUCGCAAUAAUAAAUCAGCGGAUAGAAAGAAAUACAGAGAAUCACCCUAUAGGACUACCAAGCCUUUUUUUCAUAGGUUUAAACAAAAAAAGGGUUACGAGAACACCUCACCGGUAUGAGGAAGAUGUGGACAGUUGCACUGAUACUUCUAUCAGUACCGACAUUUCGUACACAAAAUGUGACAACUACUAAUACUACAAGUGACACGACUAUGAGCCCGACGACAACCGCAACAUCUACCACACCUGAAACAACUACAAAUCCCACGACUACUGAAACAACUACUACUCCGACAACUACUGUAACGUCAAACACGAGUGAAACACCUACAACUCCCAUGACUACAGAAACAACUACCACCCCGACAACAACCGCAACGUCGAACACAGCUGAAACAACUACAGCUUCCUCAACGACUGAAACAACAACUACUCCGACGACUACUGUAACGUCAACCACAAGUGAAACACCGACAACUCCCAUGACUACUGAAACAACUACCACCCCGACAACAACCGCAACGUCGAACACAGCUGAAACAACUACAGCUUCCUCAACGACUGA